UCAUCAGAAUCAUGGCAUGUCCUCUCAUUCUCUCUCUAUCUCUUUCUCAUUGGAAUCAUCUACCUGAGAUACCUCCUAUUGAAAAAUAUAUCCCAAAAUCAAUAAUCAGUCUGUUGACGAUUGCAUGCUUAUACAUGUAAAUGUAUAUGAAUUUUUAUUAAUAAAAGUUAUUUAGCAUUUUCAUUAUAAAUUAUCCAUCUUUGAACUCCUAUGUUGUAAUGAAGUCCUUAGGACUAUAAUUAAUCAAUAAAGAAAGAUUUAUCGUUUAGUUCUUAAAAGUGUUCACG
rnacentral:lncRNA from 1 species